rnacentral:lncRNA from 1 species
AUGGUCUGGAGGUGCUGUUUUCCCUCAGCCUUCUGUCCAAGCUCUUUGGUGGCACGUGUGUCCCUCGGUGUGAUUUUGCGAGGAGUUGUAAGGGAACGUAGGCUGCUGCCGAUCGGGGGAUGGCAUGCGGGGAGGAGGGAGAAGGGUUGUUUGCAUGGGAAGGAUCGGCGUGGGAGGGAGUGUGUUUUUGAGGUAGGGGCGUGUGUAAUGGGAAUAGGGAUGUUUAUGUGGGCACGCACGCCCAUAUGUGGUGUGUUUUUCCCCUUUUUCCUGGGCUCUGGGUGUGUCCAGAUCAACCGAAUUCAAAAUGCUCCUUUUUUGGCACUGCAGCCUCUUCUCUGGUUUGGCAUCUUAAGAAUCUGGGGGAAUCAUUUAAAGAUCAGAAAACUCCAUUCACUUGGGCCCCCGAAGGCUUCACAUUCUGUGACAUGGCCAUUCCAGUCGGCUGAGCUCUGUCCCCUGCGGAUGAGCCCAUAUAAGGAGCCUGUUUCCUGCGUUUCACGCUCCCUGCCUGUCCCUCUGCCCUCCUGUGCUCCCUUUGCCGAAGAAAGCUGGUAUUUUGGGACUGCGGCUCCUGCCUCAUUCCUGCUCUCUGUUUAUUUUUGGAGAAUGACUAUUUUUGCUCCUAUCAGGGAGCUAUGCGGGGUCGUGCCCCCUCCCUGCAGCAGGCAGCGGCUGCCCCUGGCAGGCUCUCUUCAUUUCCCACACUCGCAAACAAUGCUUCUGCUUCAAGAAAUAAACACGGGAGACCCCUACCAUCAGGGGUUAGCUCAGCCCCUUCCUCAUCUGUGGCAAGAGACAAUUCGGCUUUGGCUCGGGGCUGACCCCACCACACAUGCAAGCUCCCCUCUGUCAAGUCAGAAAUCCUCAGGAGUCACCCAGUCCGUUCCCUUUCUUAAAAGCUGUGGGAGCCACAUGUUCCCUCUCUGUUGCUCUAGCGCAGACACCUUUGCAUUGACCGUGUUUUCCUCUCUUUCAGACAUCACUUUACCCAAUUAUCCCUUCUUCCAGUGGUCCUUUCACAGGUCCAUCCACCUGGGCACCAUCAAGUGGGAGCUACGUAAACUUGAGUUCACCCCCUGGGUUCACCUUGCUCCUCUGCUUUCACCACUGCCUGCCAUGCAAAACACUGAAGCCGCUGCUGUACGAGGUGCUUCAGGCAGGGGGCUGAGCCCCAAAGUGCAGAGGACGCUGGGCAGAUCCCACACGGAGUGCCCAGUCUUUGAAAAUUCCCAUCGUAAGCCCCAAGCUGAAGGCUUGUCUUCUCUUGCCAUGCGGCGGAGUGGCACGCAAUACAGUGCAAGAACUUAG